rnacentral:rRNA from 1 species
UUUGGUGGCGAUAGCGAAGAGGUCACACCCGUUCCCAUGCCGAACACGGAAGUUAAGCUCUUCAGCGCCGAUGGUAGUUGGGGAAUUCCCCCUGUGAGAGUAGGACGCCGCCAAGC